UCGAUUCCCUUAGUAGCGGCGAGCGAAACGGGAAGAGCCCAAACCAACAAGCUUGCUUGUUGGGGUUGUAGGACACUCUAUACGGAGUUACAAAGGACGACAUUAGACGAAUCAUCUGGAAAGAUGAAUCAAAGAAGGUAAUAAUCCUGUAGUCGAAAAUGUUGUCUCUCUUGAGUGGAUCCUGAGUACGACGGAGCACGUGAAAUUCCGUCGGAAUCUGGGAGGACCAUCUCCUAAGGCUAAAUACUCUCUAGUGACCGAUAGUGAACCAGUACCGUGAGGGAAAGGUGAAAAGCACCCCGGAAGGGGAGUGAAAUAGAACCUGAAACCGUGUGCUUACAAGUAGUCAGAGCCCGUUAAUGGGUGAUGGCGUGCCUUUUGUAGAAUGAACCGGCGAGUUACGAUUUGAUGCAAGGUUAAGCAGUAAAUGUGGAGCCGUAGCGAAAGCGAGUCUGAAUAGGGCGUUUAGUAUUUGGUCGUAGACCCGAAACCAGGUGAUCUACCCUUGGUCAGGUUGAAGUUCAGGUAACACUGAAUGGAGGACCGAACCGACUUACGUUGAAAAGUGAGCGGAUGAACUGAGGGUAGCGGAGAAAUUCCAAUCGAACCUGGAGAUAGCUGGUUCUCUCCGAAAUAGCUUUAGGGCUAGCCUCAAGUGAUGAUUAUUGGAGGUAGAGCACUGUUUGGACGAGGGGCCCCUCUCGGGUUACCGAAUUCAGACAAACUCCGAAUGCCAAUUAAUUUAACUUGGGAGUCAGAACAUGGGUGAUAAGGUCCGUGUUCGAAAGGGAAACAGCCCAGACCACCAGCUAAGGUCCCAAAAUAUAUGUUAAGUGGAAAAGGAUGUGGCGUUGCCCAGACAACUAGGAUGUUGGCUUAGAAGCAGCCAUCAUUUAAAGAGUGCGUAAUAGCUCACUAGUCGAGUGACACUGCGCCGAAAAUGUACCGGGGCUAAACAUAUUACCGAAGCUGUGGAUUGUCCUUUGGACAAUGGUAGGAGAGCGUUCUAAGGGCGUUGAAGCAUGAUCGUAAGGACAUGUGGAGCGCUUAGAAGUGAGAAUGCCGGUGUGAGUAGCGAAAGACGGGUGAGAAUCCCGUCCACCGAUUGACUAAGGUUUCCAGAGGAAGGCUCGUCCGCU
rnacentral:rRNA from 1 species